GACGAACGCUGGCGGCGUGCUUAACACAUGCAAGUCGAACGGAAAGGCCAUGCUUUUGUGGGGUGCUCGAGUGGCGAACGGGUGAGUAACACGUGAGUAACCUGCCCUUGACUUUGGGAUAACUUCAGGAAACUGGGGCUAAUACCGGAUAGGAGCUCCUGCUGCGUGUGGGGGGUUGGAGAGUUUCGGCGGUUGGGGAUGGUCUCGCGGCUUAUCAGCUUGUUUGUGUGGUAGUGGCUUACCAAGGCUUUGACGGGUAGCCGGCCUGAGAGGGGUAACGGCCACAUUGGGACUGAGAUACGGACCAGACUCCUACGGGAGGCAGCAGUGGGGAAUAUUGCACAAUGGGCGGAAGCCUGAUGCAGCGACGCCGCGUGCGGGAUGACGGCCUUCGGGGUGUAAACAGCUUUCGCCUGUGACGAAGCGUGAGUGACGGUAAUUGGUAAAGAAGCACCGGCUAACUACGUG
rnacentral:rRNA from 1 species